GCCUGGCUUGCUCAGUUGGUGGAGCACGCAACUCUUGAUCUCAGGGUCAUGAGUUCAAGUCUCAUGUUGGGCA
rnacentral:tRNA from 1 species